AACGAACGCUGGCGGCAUGCCUAACACAUGCAAGUCGAACGAGACCUUCGGGUCUAGUGGCGCACGGGUGCGUAACACGUGGGAAUUUGCCUCGGGGUAUGGAAUAACUCAGGGAAACUUGAGCUAAUACCAUAUAAUGUCUUCGGACCAAAGAUUUAUCGCCCUGAGAUAAGCCCGCGUAGGAUUAGCUAGUUGGUGGGGUAAAGGCUCACCAAGGCGACGAUCCUUAGCUGGUCUGAGAGGAUGAUCAGCCACACUGGGACUGAGACACGGACCAGACUCCUACGGGAGGCAGCAGUGAGGAAUAUUGGACAAUGGGCGCAAGCCUGAUCCAGCCAUGCCGCGUGCAGGAAGACGGUCCUAUGGAUUGUAAACUGCUUUUAUACAGGAAGAAACACUCCCUCGUGAGGGAACGUUGACGGUACUGUAUGAAUAAGCAUCGGCUAACUCCGUGCCAGCAGCCGCGGUAAUGUGACU
rnacentral:rRNA from 1 species